ACCAAGGAUGAGGCUCUGUUGGCGAAAUAUGAUGAGAAAGUUUAUUGUGCAACAUACUGGAUUCUUCAGCAGACCAUUGGAGAUGUCUUCGACCUUCUUGAAGCUUUGUAGUAAACAAAGGCGUGAAAUAAAAGUGCAACUCAA